rnacentral:snRNA from 1 species
AUCUCUUCUCGACCUUUUGGCCAAGAUCAAGUGCAGUAUCUAUUCUUAUCAGUUGAAACCUCAGCUGACAGAGGGAAAAACUGCAGAAUCGGCAAUUAAAUAGUUCACCCACAUUCACUCAAUUAUUCACCCAAUGUUGAGGAAGUUGUAAAACAUAUUUGAGCUCAAUAGACAAACCCAACAGCCCGAGCUAUUCACCAGUGCAGCACACCUGCACCUGCUCAAACUAAA